CCCUUAGAUGUCCUGGGCCGCACGCGCGUUACACUGAUGCAUUCAACGAGCUUAUAACCUUGGCCGAGGGGCCUGGGCAAUCUUGUUAACGUGCAUCGUGAUAGGGAUAGAUUAUUGAAAUUAUUAAUCUUGAACGAGGAAUUCCUAGUAAACGCAGAUCAUCAAUCUGCAUUGAUUACGUCCCUGCCCUUUGUACACACCGCCCGUCGCUACUACCGAUUGGAUGGUUUAGUGAGAUCCUCGGAUUGGUCACGGCACGGUGGCAACACUGCGUCGGUGUGCCGAGAAGACGAUCAAACUUGAUCAUCUAGAGGAAGUAAAAGUCGUAACA
rnacentral:rRNA from 1 species